rnacentral:rRNA from 1 species
AACCUUUAGCAAAACAAAUAUUAAAGGCAACGCCUGCCCAGUGAAUAAUUAAACGGCCGCGGUACCCUAACCGUGCAAAGGUAGCGUAAUCAUUUGUCUAUUAAUUAUAGACCCGUAUGAAAGGCAAAAUGAGGGCCUAACUGUCUCUUAUAAUAAAUCAAUUAAACUGAUCUCCCAGUCCAAAAGCUGGAAUACCCACAUAAGACCAGAAGACCCUGUGAAGCUUAAACUAAACUAUUAAACCAUAUAAUAGCUCCUUUCGGUUGGGGCGACCUUGGAAAUAAAGAGAACUUCCAAAUAAACGACCUUCAUCAUAACUUUUAGGCCAACAAGCCUGAUAUAGACCCAGUAUAGCUGACAAUUGAACCAAGUUACUCCAGGGAUAACAGCGCUAUCUUCUUCAAGAGCCCAUAUCAAAAAGAAGGUUUACGACCUCGAUGUUGGAUCAGGACAUCCUAUUGGUGCAACCGCUAUUAAGGGUUCGUUUGUUCAACGAUUAACAGUCCU